rnacentral:misc_RNA from 1 species
AGGAUCUGGUCAGAAUUCUGGGCAUAAUUCCAUGGGAGGAGAUAUGGUAGGACAACUGUUUUGGCAGCCUAGUCGAGGGAGCCCCGAGUACUCUCCAAUUCCUAGUCCUAGAAUGACAAGUCCUGGACCUAGCUCAAGAAUUCACAGUGGUGCUGUCACACCUAUUCAUCCCAAGGCUGGAGGCGGAGCAUCUGAAUUGCAGACUAAUUGGCCAGAUGAUGCAAAACCAGAAAGUCAUCCUUUGCCCCGUCCCCCCUUAGCAAUUUCCAACUCUUCACCUUUUUCUCAUUCCAAUUCAGUUGCAACAUCUCCCUCAGUGCCACGAAGUCCUGGUAGGGCAGAGAAUCUUUCUAGCCCGGGUUCUCGCUGGAAAAAAGGGAAGUUGCUUGGUAGAGGCACAUUCGGGCAUGUUUAUGUUGGUUUUAAUAGU